CCCGUGGCGCCCUUCUCUUCUCCUGAAGGCAACAAGAACACACAAUGAGUAAUGGGUAAAACGAAGAAUGCCUGGUUCCUAGCUUCUUUGCUCUUUGGGUUGUACUUCACCAGCGUCUGGACAGCUCCUCCACUCCCAUAGACCUCCUAGGUAGAUAUAAGGUAACACCCAAAUCCCUGAGGGCACAGGUAAGGAACAACGGUAAGGAUGUAGCAAGGUAACUAGGCCAUGCCCCUGGAUGUCCGCCGGUAUAUCAGAAGCGAGUAACUUCUUACUCGUAUCACAGAUAGAUAUUGAGCAAGGUGACUGACUCUUCACACUAGGCUUACUGAGCGGGUUCCAGAGCAAUGGCUUUUAACUCGUGCAGGCGGGUAAGUAUUCAACAAGUAGCUGUAUCUUCACACUGGGCUUUACAGGGCGUAUUCAAGGUCAGUAGCUUUUAGCUCGUACAAACAGGUGAGUAUUCAACAAGUAACUGUAUCUUCACGCUGGGCUUACAGGGCGUAUUCAAGGGCAAUAGCUUUUAGCUCGUACAGAGAGGUAAGUAUUCAACAAGCAACUGUAUCUUCACGCUGGGCUUUACAGGGCGUAUUCAAGGGCAAUAGCUUUUAGCUCGUACAGAGAGGUAAGUAUUCAACAAGUGGCUGUAUCUUCACGCUGGGCUUACAGAGCGUAUUCAAGGGCAAUAGCUUUCCCCACAAUAUCCGCACAAUACCUUGUUUUGCUUUCACACUUCACCUUCGAGCUGGGUCCGGAGAACGGAGUUAUAGGCGGGCGUAGGUGGGAUAGGUGGGCACCGCCACGGCAGCCUACGUUCUUUCCAACAGGAACUUUUCUCGGCCUGGAGGGCAAGUACAGACAACAGGGACACGGCACAGCACUGCAAAGCUUUAGUGCACACACGUCAAAGACAGACUCACCCACUGCACUACACACACUUCAGUGAUUUUUAAGGUCGGUACUCCACACCCGGUCGGAUUUCGUCCUGGAGGAAUUUGCAGUCGCUGUCACGGUAAGUGCUCCAAACUUUACGGUGUGGCCACAGCCAAAUAACAUCC
ensembl:lncRNA